rnacentral:rRNA from 1 species
GACGGAGGAGGCAAGCGUUAUCCGGAAUUAUUGGGCGUAAAGCGUCCGCAGGCGGCUUUUUAAGUCUGUUGUCAAAGCCCACAGCUCAACUGUGGAUCGGCAAGGGAAACUGGGAAGCUAGAGUGUGGUAGGGGUAGAGGGAAUUCCCGGUGUAGCGGUGAAAUGCGUAGAUAUUGGGAAGAACACCGGUGGCGAAAGCGCUCUGCUGGACCUGCACUGACACUGAGGGACGAAAGCGUAGGGGAGCGAAAGCAUGAU